CAGGCAUUGUGCAUUUUGUAAAUUGACAUGCCGACUUAACGUUAUGGGUUUCAUAAUUUUUAAACUCUCAUAGAACUCAAACCACAUUUCUUUUAGGUUACCUGUAAGCUUAGAAUCCCAACUAAUGCGGGAUUUCCAUAGUUUUUGCAUGAAAACCUUGGCAAUUACUAUGAAUGGUCCGGCUAAACCGAGUGGAUCAUAAAUUACUAAUGAAACUUAUACUUCUCUUUUGUAUUUGGCACUUUACUAGAUAAAUUUGGAGCAGACAAAAUGAAGGAGUCAGAUUUAAUAUUGUAAUUUAUACCUAGUGUUUUUAUGAAUAAGUUAUCUUUUAAGACCUUAUAUAGUCGACCUUUUAUAGUUUCAUUAUAGUCGACUGGACUUUCGAGAACUUUCGACAGCUCGGCUGUGUCAAAAUAAAAAAAUUCAAGAAGCGUGUUAAUCAUUGUAUUUGUACUUAGAGACAGCAACAACCCGACAUCUCGACAAGGAACUACUAAACGAAAUGAGAAGUCAAAUAUAGGGUGCCAUGCAUUAUAAAUGCUCACCUAUAUGUCUUUGAACGAGUCACGUUUCCCUCCUUAACGAGUGACCCAUAGAUCUCCUGUAGGUAACCUAGGUCACCUGGAUGAUAUAACAACAGUGCGUCCCUGUUAGUUAUAUCCUGAGGUAGAUAUCCCAGAUACGGCACUGACUCAGCAUCGAUAUACUCUAAGUUUCCGUCAGCACUAUGACGUAUUACAAACGACACCGUUUUGGCAAGAACUUCGUUAGAUGCUAAAAAUAAAAUUAAAAUGUACUUUCUAUUUAAAUAUUAUGGUGUACGUGGCGAGGUUUGCGUGUUUUUUCGCAACUUAACGUAAUGUUACGAAGCCUUUUAAAAUGUUCAUAAAGUUACAAGCAUAAUUGUUCGUUAACACUUCAGUUCGAAAAAAAAAAAAAAAGCUAUUGAUAGUACUCUAAAAAGUCCUAUGUCUGCCAGUGAAAGUCCCAUCAAGAUCGGUGUAAUGAUUUCGGUAGAUUAGCUCCAUCAAAUUUAUCCUUUAUUUGUCCAUGAAAAAAUAUAAAUCUCUAUAGUACGUGUAAUGCGAAACCGUAACUUUAAAAUCUCUACUUUGACAUAUAUAUAAUUAUUUAUUAUCGACUGAUACUUUCUAUGAUUUAAUAUUCCGAUUGUGUAUUUUAUAAUAUCACUAUUUUACUUGUUAUUAUUUUUAAAUCGAGAGACUGUAAUGUUAUCUUUUUGUUUAUACGUUCUUCGUAGUUUGUAAGCGUUGUACAAAAAAAACUUGAUAUCAAAAUAAACUUUUUAUCAAAAAAA
rnacentral:misc_RNA from 1 species